GCCAUCGAAUACGAGCGCUUCACCCGGGAUCCCUGAAUGGCUCAGAAAAGGGAACGCCGCGCUGAAUGACCCAUCAAAACAGACGUAUGACAGCGGGCCAAGGACUAACUGCAUGUGUAACACACACAUAUAUCUGCAUGGCUGAUGGAGCCAUAAAAUGGCAGCGAGAGUG